GACGUAGGGCGCGAGCGUUGUCCGGAUUUAUUGGGCGUAAAGAGCUCGUAGGCGGCUUGUUGCGUCAGCUGUGAAAACCUGCAGCUUAACUGUGGGCUUGCGGUCGAUACGGGCAUCACUGGAGUUCGGCAGGGGAGACUGGAAUUCCUGGUGUAGCGGUGAAAUGCGCAGAUAUCAGGAGGAACACCGGUGGCGAAGGCGGGUCUCUGGGCCGAUACUGACGCUGAGGAGCGAAAGCGUGGGGAGCGAACAGG
rnacentral:rRNA from 1 species